UAACAUAAAAUCUUGAAUGUUGUUUAAAGUUGAAAAAAAGUAAUGCAUACUGCAAAAAAAUGUGUACAAUGCAUUAAUAUGACUAAUAUACUACAAAGUGCAUUUAAUAUGUUGGUCCACUGAACCAGCAGCCUGCUUUGAAAAUUACUCCAACACAGACAGGUAUUGUCUUCUCUCUCGUCACUUCUCUCUUUCUCUUCUUCUUCUUCUUCUUCUUCUUCUUCUUCCUUUCUUCUUUCUUCUUUCUUCUUUCUUCCUUGCCGUUACCGGAGCAGCAGUGUAGCCAACACAGAAUUGAUGAAGAGCCACAUGAUCAACGAAGCUGUCA